GGUAAAGUGGUGGGACCUACCAAUAUUUAAUAAUAGAUUUGAGAUAGUGGAGGAAAGUAGUGGGUGUAAUAGUAGUUUUUAUUGUUAAAUAUGAGAUAGUGGGGGAAGAUAGUGGGUGUAAUGAUGAGAAAAACUUACUAUUUAUAGUAACGUAAAGAAAUGAGGGGGACAUCCCAAAAUAGUAACCGUAAAGAAAUGAGAGGGACAGAGGGAGUAUUGUUAUUCUUAGAAGAUUGUUUUGUCUACAAUCCUAUAGGACUACAGAGAAUUAAGAAUGAGGAAAUAUUGUGGCUGUGAGAGGUUCUGUGGCUACUUUAGUUGCGUGAGCAGCUACACUUGUUUAUAUGUUUGGUAGUUCAAUAGAAAUAUCAAAUA
rnacentral:lncRNA from 1 species